rnacentral:rRNA from 1 species
CCUGGUGGCCCUUGCGGGGAAACCAGCACCCGAUCCCAUUCCGAACUCGGCCGUGAAAUGCCCCAGCGCCAAUGAUACUGCGGCUCAAGCCGCGGGAAAGUAGGUCGCCGCCAGGC